rnacentral:lncRNA from 1 species
CAGCCUCGCUACUGUGAAGCCAGAGGAAGUGCGUAGCACGGACACCCAGCUAUUCCCGUUCGUAGAGAUGCCACUCACAGCUCCACUUACUG